CUGCUGCCUCCCGUAGGAGUUUGGUCCGUGUCUCAGUACCAAUGUGGGGGGUUAACCUCUCAGUCCCCCUAUGUAUCGUUGUCUUGGUGAGCCCGUUACCCCACCAACUAACUAAUACAACGCAUGCCCAUCCAUUACCACCGGAGUUUUCAACCCAAGAAGAUGCCUCCCUGGAUGUUAUGGGGUAUUAGUACCGAUUUCUCAGUGUUAUCCCCCUGUAAUGGGUAGGUUGCAUACGCGUUACGCACCCGUGCGCCGGUCGCCGACGUAGAUUG
rnacentral:rRNA from 1 species